CUCGAUCGAACGGCUGGCCCAGUUUUCGUCUCCCACGUCCCUUUUCUGGCCCAAAAAAAGUCGUCGUGCUCCCGUAUUUCCCCUGUACCCAAUACGUAGUCCCCUCCUUCCCCUUUCUCCUCACCUUCCGACAGCCGAGCGUGGACAGCGGAGAGAUCCAGUGAGUCAGUCGGCGCCGUUCCCGUCCCAGCUGUCGUCCCUCUCCUGCCGCAACGCAGCCUCCGCCUCAUGGUUCGUUCUUGCGCCAAAGAGACGGAGAUGGUGGAGCUCGGGGCGGGGAUAAUGGAGGUGGUGAUAGUGGAGGUCGUGGCGGCGGAGGCCGCGGCGAGCGACGAGGGUGUCCCCCUUCUAGCGGCUAUUCCAGGCGUGUGGCGCCGUCUUCGGUGCCGCUGGCACCAUUCCCGUGCCUGCCGAGGAUGAGGCCAGAAGACGGUUCAGUGAAGUGAACAAAUUACUCCUUUCAUCGAUGCAUGCAAAGUCAUAUUUUUGGUUUGAUAGUUCAUACUGAUCUGCGUGACAGUGGCACUUCAUUACCGCAGUGAUCGACUACUGGUCUGCUUGUCAGGAGAAAGUAAGUAACCAGUUCGACAAGAAGGACAAGAACAAUGAAAAGAGAUCAAGAAGAAUAUGAGUCGGAUUUCUUACUUCUGGUCCUGGAGAUCCAUUGCCGUGUUCAUGGUUCCCAUGAUCACUGCUUGAAGAAACCAUACGGGGCAAUAAUUUCCUUUGUUUAAACCUCGGAUGGCUUGAUAUUUGCAGACUUUGCUAUCUGCCUGAAAUUUGUUCGUUGGAUGCAGUCAGGCUCCAGAUUGCAAA